CUGCUGGGAAUCAUCAAAAAACGAGAGCUGCCCAUCCUUUUAAAUGGUAGAGAGUACAUCUGAAGGGGAAGGUAGGAAGACCAUGCCUCUGCCAAAACGUGGAAGACCUUAUUGUGUCAACCUCACUACCAUCAAGUCACAACAUUGGGUGGGGUUAGGUGAACCAUAUCCUCACAUUCUUCACCUUGGUUCUCCUAACACUCUCUCUUGGUUGCGAAUUUGCACAUGGAAGAACUGUUCAUCAUCAUCGCCCA
rnacentral:lncRNA from 1 species